rnacentral:rRNA from 1 species
GACGAACGCUGGCGGCGUGCUUAACACAUGCAAGUCGCGGGGGGUGAGCAAUCACUCACCGGCGAACGGGUGCGUAACACGUGAGCGACCUGCCCACUUGUGGGGUAUAGCCGGCCCAAC